rnacentral:rRNA from 1 species
CGGAAUUUGAUCUGUCUAUGAUGACGCUAGCGGGAGGCCUAACACAUGCAAGCCGAGCGGUAGAGUGUCUUCGGAUACUUGAGAGCGGCGUACGGGUGCGGAACACGUGUGCAACCUGCCUUUAUCUGAGGGAUAGCCUUUCGAAAGGAAGAUUAAUACCUCAUAAUAUACUGAUUGGCAUCAAUUAGUAUUGAAAGCUCCGGCGGAUAGAGAUGGGCACGCGCAAGAUUAGAUAGUUGGUGAGGUAACGGCUCACCAAGUCAAUGAUCUUUAGGGGGCCUGAGAGGGUGAUCCCCCACACUGGUACUGAGACACGGACCAGACUCCUACGGGAGGCAGCAGUGAGGAAUAUUGGACAAUGGGUGCAAGCCUGAUCCAGCCAUCCCGCGUGAAGGACGACGGCCCUAUGGGUUGUAAACUUCUUUUGUACAGGGAUAAACCUACUCUCGUGAGGGUAGCUGAAGGUACUGUACGAAUAAGCACCGGCUAACUCCGUGCCAGCCGCCGCGGUAAUUCCCCCUGGGCGA